AUUUCUAAUCAAAACUUUCCUACAAGGAAAACUCCAGAGCCAGAUGGCUACUCUAGUAAAUUUUAUCAGACUUUUAAAGAAGAUAAAAGUAUUAAUCCUAUACAUUUCAGACAGCAGAGCAGGAAUGAACACUUUGAAACUCAUUUUAUGAAGCCAAUAUAAUCCUGGUAUCAAAACUUGACCAGGAAAUUUUACAAGAAAAUUACAAACCAAUACCGUUCAUGAAUAUAGAUUUUUAAAUUCUUAAUGAAAUAUUGCAAAUUAAACCUUGCAGUAUAAAGGAUAAGAUGCCAUGGCCAAGGAAGGUGAGGUUAAACAUUGAAAAGUUAGUGUAGUUCACCACAUUAAUAGAAUGAAAGAGAAAAACAAAAUGAUAGUCUCAGUAGAUGCAGAAAAAGCAUCUGAUAAAAUUCAAAAUGCAUUCAUGUCAAAAACCUUCAGCAAGUUAAGUAUAGAAAGGAACUUUCUCAAUAUAACAAUCAUCUUUGAAAAAUGUAAUAGUGAAACACUAAAUCUUUUUCCCCUAAGGUCAGGAGUAACAGAAGACAAGAAUGUGUGCUCUCACCACUUCUAUUCAGGGUUAUGUUGAAGGUCCUAAUCAAUGUAAUAAAACAAUAACAAAAUGCAUCAA